CCUACGGGAGGCAGCAGUGGGGAAUAUUGCACAAUGGGGGAAACCCUGAUGCAGCGACGCCGCGUGAGUGAAGAAGUAUUUCGGUAUGUAAAGCUCUAUCAGCAGGGAAGAAAAUGACGGUACCUGAUUAAGAAGCCCCGGCUAACUACGUGCCAGAAGCUGCGGUAAUACGUUGGGGGCAAGCGUUCUCCGGAUUGACUGGGUGUAAAGGUAGCGUAGACGGCAGCACAAGUGUGGAAUGAAAUGCCGGGGCUUAACCCCGGAACUGCUUUGGAAACUGUGCAGCUAGAGUGCAGGAGAGGUAAGUGGAAUUCCUAGUGAAGCGGUGGAAUGCGUAGAUAUUAGGAGGAACACCAGUGGCGAAGGCGGCUUACUGGACUGUAACUGACGUUGAGGAUCGAAAGCGUGGGGAGCAAACAGGAUUAGAUACCCGUGUAGUC
rnacentral:rRNA from 1 species